AAGUUUGAAACUUCCAGACAGAGACUUCGAAUUGGGAGGGCAAUCCUCCCGGUGAACUGACCGUACCCCAAACCAACACAGGUGAACAAGUAAAGUAUACUAGGGCACUUGAGAGAACCAUGUCGAAGGAACUCGGCAAAAUGACCCCAUAACUUCCGGAGAAG